CGGCGACCGGCGCACGGGUGAGUAACGCGUAUCCAACCUGCCCAUAACUAAGGGAUAACCAGCGAAAGUUGGACUAAUACCUUAUGUAUUCGUUUGAUUUCAUGAGAUUACGAAUAAAGAUUUAUCGGUUAUGGAUGGGGAUGCGUCUGAUUAGCUUGUUGGCGGGGUAACGGCUCACCAAGGCAACGAUCAGUAGGGGUUCUGAGAGGAAGGUCCCCCACAUUGGAACUGAGACACGGUCCAAACUCCUACGGGAGGCAGCAGCG
rnacentral:rRNA from 1 species